GGGUUGUGAGGUUAAGCGACUAAGCGUACACGGUGGAUGCCCUGGCAGUCAGAGGCGAUGAAGGACGUGCUAAUCUGCGAUAAGCGUCGGUAAGGUGAUAUGAACCGUUAUAACCGGCGAUUUCCGAAUGGGGAAACCCAGUGUGUUUCGACACACUAUCAUUAACUGAAUCCAUAGGUUAAUGAGGCGAACCGGGGGAACUGAAACAUCUAAGUACCCCGAGGAAAAGAAAUCAACCGAGAUUCCCCCAGUAGCGGCGAGCGAACGGGGAGGAGCCCAGAGCCUGAAUCAGUGUGUGUGUUAGUGGAAGCGUCUGGAAAGGCGCGCGAUACAGGGUGACAGCCCCGUACACAAAAAUGCACAUGCUGUGAGCUCGAUGAGUAGGGCGGGACACGUGGUAUCCUGUCUGAAUAUGGGGGGACCAUCCUCCAAGGCUAAAUACUCCUGACUGACCGAUAGUGAACCAGUACCGUGAGGGAAAGGCGAAAAGAACCCCGGCGAGGGGAGUGAAAAAGAACCUGAAACCGUGUACGUACAAGCAGUGGGAGCAUGCUUAGGCGUGUGACUGCGUACCUUUUGUAUAAUGGGUCAGCGACUUAUAUUCUGUAGCAAGGUUAACCGAAUAGGGGAGCCGAAGGGAAACCGAGUCUUAACUGGGCGUUAAGUUGCAGGGUAUAGACCCGAAACCCGGUGAUCUAGCCAUGGGCAGGUUGAAGGUUGGGUAACACUAACUGGAGGACCGAACCGACUAAUGUUGAAAAAUUAGCGGAUGAACUUGUGGCUGGGGGUGAAAGGCCAAUCAAACCGGGAGAUAGCUGGU
rnacentral:rRNA from 1 species